rnacentral:lncRNA from 1 species
GCUCUCUAAGCCCACCCCUGCUCUUCCAAACCCACGACAACGUCCUCUUCCAGGGAGGGAGAGGCUGAGCCCCUGUUCCCGGGAAUGGCAGGGGCGCCCGCGCGAGGAGGGUCGCCGGGAGAGCCGCCUCUCCUCCAAGCUGGAGCAGCCGUGACCCAGAUUGCGACCGCGGCGGCCUCGCCCUGCCUAAUCCCCCCCUCUUCUUCCUCCAGGGGCACCCUUUGGAGAAGAACCCCAGCCUGGGGUGGGGACGCACCGGCUCUCCGACAGCUCAAACACAGACAGAUCUUCUAGAGCCGAGGGAAUUUCUUUUCGCAGAAGCCAUUACUCCCCCCGAGAGAAGGCUGCAAAGCUGGGAAGCCCAGGGUGUGCUCCUCCCGCCCUUUUGGACCCCCGGGCUUGCACCGGCUGCACUCUGAGAACCAGCUGCGCGCGGAGCGGUGCAAUGCAGCACCCACCCUGCGAGCCUGGCAAUUGCUUGUCAUUAAAAGAAAAAAAAAUUACGGAGGGCUCCGGGGGUGUGUGUUGGGGAGGGGAGACCGAUGCUUCUAACCCAGCCCCCGCUUUGACUGCGUGUUGUGCAGCUGAGCGCGAGGCCAACGUUGAGCAAGGCCUUGCAGGGAGGUUGCUCCUGUGUAAUUACGAAAGAAGGCUAGUCCGAAGGUGCAAAAUAGCAGGGAGAGGACGCGCCCCCUUAGGAACAAGACCUCUGGAUGUUUCCAGUUUCAAAUUGAAAGAAGAGGGGCGCCCCCCUUGUUUGAAAAUAAAUAAAUAAAUAAGUGCGAGCUACGAGG